rnacentral:rRNA from 1 species
CCGAAGUCAGUGACCUAACCGCAAGGGAGGAGCUGCCGAAGGCGGGACCGAUGACUGGGGUGAAGUCGUAACAAGGUAGCCGUAUCGGAAGGUGCGGCUGGAUCACCUCCUUUCUAAGGAA